GGGCCCGUGGCACAGUGGAUAAUGCACCGGCCUCCGGAGCCGGAGAUCGCGGGUUCGAAUCCUGCCGGGCCCGCCA
rnacentral:tRNA from 1 species